rnacentral:rRNA from 1 species
UACGAAGGGGGCUAGCGUUGCUCGGAAUCACUGGGCGUAAAGGGUGCGUAGGCGGGUCUUUUAAGUCAGGGGUGAAAUCCUGGAGCUCAACUCCAGAACUGCCUUUGAUACUGAAGAUCUUGAGUCCGGGAGAGGUGAGUGGAACUGCGAGUGUAGAGGUGAAAAUUCGUAGAUAUUCGCAAGAACACCAGUGGCGAAGGCGGACU